rnacentral:rRNA from 1 species
GAUGAACGCUAGCGGGAGGCUUAAUACAUGCAAGUCGAGCGGUAAGGUUUUCGGACCCUAGAGCGGCGAACGGGUGAGUAACGCGUACGAAACCUGCCUUUAAGAGAGGGAUAGCCCUGGGAAACUGGGAGUAAUACCUCAUAGUAUUCAUUAACCGCAUGGUUUAUGGAUUAAAGCUACGGCGCUUAAAAGAUGGUCGUGCGUCUGAUUAGCUAGUUGGUAGGGUAACGGCCUACCAAGGCUACGAUCAGUAGGGGGCGUGAGAGCGUGGCCCCCCCACACGGGUACUGAGACACGGACCCGACUCCUACGGGAGGCAGCAGUAAGGAAUAUUGGACAAUGGUCGAAAGACUGAUCCAGCCAUCCCGCGUGCAGGAUGACUGCCCUAUGGGUUGUAAACUGCUUUUANAUGGGAAGAAUAGCAUAGAUUCAUCUGUGUAUGACGGUACCAUAUGAAUAAGCAACCGGCUAAACUCCGUGCC